rnacentral:lncRNA from 1 species
CGCGGGCCACCCGAUGUCGACGGACGGGCGGACGAGAUGGGGCAAAGACCAUGGAGAUCCAUCCCAAGCAUAUCUGUGCUUCUUCCUUCCGGCCAGCUCCCCACGAUCAAUUCUGCGGGCCGUCAGAUGUCGAUGGACGAACGAGAUUGGUUAAAUAGACAGUGUCGAUCCAUGGGUAAAGUCCAUUGACCAAUUAAGAGUCCGCUGCAUUUACGCCGCUCGUCUCUCAAAAUUUGUGUCUCCUUGCUCAAAAGUAAGUUUUGAAGACAAGAGAAAAGAAAAGGAAAGAUAAUAUUGAAAAGAGGCGAAUCCCAUUCCCAUCCCCCACCCAUCUCUCUCCAUGACCAUUACCAGGAGGAGCAGGACGACGCCAUGGAAGGGUCACCAACAACUCCGGUCUUCUCCAUGGACAUGGAGGUCCUCCGCUGCACUCCCUGAUGCAUCAAGCGCGCAGGCAUACAAGGAGGCUCUGCUUCUUCCCAGGUCGCCAUGGAAGGUAUGCUCUGCUCUGCUUGUCAACGCCCAUCUAUCCGUGUUUGCUUGCUGCUGCAACUUGUAUUCGGACGGAGCUAGACAAAACUGCAAAAAUCACAUACUUUUACUUCCUUUUUCAGAAAAAACUAACAAGUCUGCAGAUUAUUCUUCAGGUUGAUACUAAAUUGGCAAUGUUGCUGUUCGGACCCCGCUGCCGCUGCGGACGCCAUGGAGCCCGUCCAGGUAUCUCACUCUGCUCUCUCUCAUGUCCCGGCCAUCAAUUACCCGGAGGUGUUGCCUCUUUUCACUAGUGCAACCGUGCGUGUGCGUGUGCGCGCGUGUGUAGUACUCCCUCCGUCUCAAAAAAAGUGACUCAACUUUGUACUAAAGUUUGAACAAAGUUGAGCCACUUAUUUUGGGACGGAGGGAGUAUGAGAUUCAACAAGACACAAUGAGCUCUUGUAGCGAUGAUUCUUCUGCUGGUCACACAAGUGAGCCUAUCUAUGCUUGUUUUGUCUUGGCUCGAUUGAUUCCAACACUUAACUUUCAGUUUUGCAACUACAAAUUAAGAGAUCGAUUUGGGGGAGGUGAGGUACACGAAUGAUAGUAGGCCAGAUUCAGACUUGUAUUCGAGAGGAAAUUCAUAGUUUCAGUUUCGCAACACACGCCCACACAUAGCAACAGCCAGAUUCAGACAUGUGUUGGAGAGGAAAUUCAGAGUAAUCUGCUUGCCUAUGUGCUAGGCUUGCAUGUCAAUUGUCUCAUAACCGAGCCAUUGGUCCUGGGUUUAGUUAGGACGUGUAAUUCAGCUCCCUUGUUGCUACUGCUCCAAUCAUAUAGGCUGCCACAUAUCAUCAUGCUUUCUACUGUAGUAAUGUUCUCUUCUCAUGUUCAUCUCUACCCCAUGUGUGUGUUGUGCUCUUGACAUGUCCGCACGAAAUCACCAAUGCGUGUCUCUGUGUUGCAAAUGUGUUCUCAACAUUUGCUAUUGUUUGGGCUUAGACAGCUCGAUUGCCCGCUGUUUUCAGGAUCAUUGCCUUAUGCUAAAAUACUCCUAUUCUUUUGCCUUAUGCUAUUGUUUCAGGAUCAUUGACAUGAUUUCCUUUUUUCUCUCAUUAUAAUUGGAGCUCAAGAUUUUCCAUUUGACUCAAGAUUUGUUAUUUAUCAUGUCCUUGUGCAGCAGCAUGAUUGAUUCGGUACUGCAUCAUCCCCGGUUAAUGCAGAGGACAAGGGGCUCAUCGUGUGUGUCUCCCUUCGACCAACGAGGCACGACGUUGUUCGGCACUGGCUGCAAAAUAAUCACGGUGAGCUUGUCAACGCCCAUCUAUCCGUGUUUGCUUGCUGCUGCAACUUGUAUUCGGACGGACCUAGACAGAACUACAAAAAAUCUCAUACUUUUACUUCCUUCUUCAGAAAAACUGACAACUCUGCAGAUUAUUCUUCAGGUUGAUACUAACUUGGUAAUGUUGCUGUUCCGAGACCCCGCUGCCGCUGCGGACGCCAUGGAGACCGUCAAGGUAACUCAGUCUGCUCUCUCUCAUGUCCCGACCAUCAAUUACCAAAGUCUUCCAGUAUGAGAUACAUGCCGAUUAGAGCAACAACAAAACGACACCAAAAAUAUCACUUUUCACUAUGAAAAAAGCUCCAUUUUUCAUACCCAAGUCUUCACAUGUAUUACAGAAAGAAAAAAACAACUCUGAAAAAGCUCCAUGUAUCUCAUACCGAAAUCUUCACAUGAGCAAAUUCCUUCAAAAACUAAAAUAAAAUACUGACACGAGCAUGCAUAGCAAAUCUUACAAUUUGAGGGAGCACUAGGAAACUUGAUACUCCAUAUUUUGCCUGCUUGCUUGCUUGCUGCAACUUAUCUUCACAGACAGACAAAACUGCAGAAAUCUGAAACUUUUAGUUCCUUCCUUCUUCAGGAAACUGAAAACUCUGCAGCAGAUUUAUCUUCAGGUUGAUGAUACUAACCAAGCAUACUAACUUGAUAAUGUUGGUGUCCUCAGGCGCAGACUGUUGUGUGCCGCCUCUUCCAUGGGCGUCCACGCCAUGGAGCUCCUUAAGGUAUCUCUUAUGUCGUGUGUGUCCCGGCCAUCAAUUACGUACCCAUAGAUGCUGCUUGUUUUCACUAGUGCAACAAUUUGUGUGUGUGUGCCCAGUAUGAGAUUUGACAAGACAACAUGAGCUCUUGUAGCGAUUCCCACAUGCUAGCCUUUCUAUGGCAAUUAUGUCUAGUCUUAUUACAUCACUUUGUAUGGAGCGUACAACUUUGUUUGCUACAGAAUAUAUAGCACCAUCCUGAAAUACUACUCUACUAUUUCGUUUGUGAUCACGCCCCUGUACAACAAGCCUUCCAAUCUGCUAAGUUUUGCCUCUCUUGCUGUAUGUAUGUAUAUGUAUGGGCAAAAUGAUGACAGGUGCAAACCCGAGCUGCCUGCCAUGUCGUUUAUAAUAAACACACACUAGUAAUAGUAAGAUAACAUGAUAUUCAAACUGCGUAAGUUUGCAAUUUCUCUCUCUUGCACUGGUAACACUAUCACAUAUACUCCCUCUGUAAACAAAUAUAAGUGUGUCUAGAUCACUAAAGCGGUGAUGUAAACGCUCUUAUAUUUCUUUACAGAGGGAGUACUAGUUAUGUAUUUCCAUUUCUUAAAUGCUGCCAUGUCCAUUGGUGUGACUCCAUUUCUCUGCUUUGACGUUGAUGUUUGCCCAACAGAGACCCUCAAUGAUGACAGGUGGAGUGCAGGACAUUGAGGACAUGAUAUGAACCGCCGUUCCAGACGCCCGCCUCAGGGAAGGAGCACUCCAUCCCGCUGAUAACAAUGUUUUGAAAGAGGAGAUGACGGAUUUGGUGGAGGAGAGGAACUCCCUCAAGGACGAAAAGAGGAGCCCUGUGUACAGAAAA